GGUGAACGCUAGCGGCAGGCCUAACACAUGCAAGUCGAGGGAGAAGCCCUUUCGGGGGCAGAAACCGGCGCACGGGUGCGUAACGCGUAUGCAACCUACCUUUCACAGGGGGAUAGCCCGAAGAAAUUUGGAUUAAUACCCCAUAAUAUUAUUGGAUGGCAUCAUUUGAUAAUUAAAACUGCGGUGGUGAAAGAUGGGCAUGCGUCCUAUUAGCUAGUUGGAGUGGUAACGGCACCCCAAGGCUACGAUAGGUAGGGGUCCUGAGAGGGAGAUCCCCCACACUGGUACUGAGACAGGGACCAGACUCCUACGGGAGGCAGCAGUGAGGAAUAUUGGUCAAUGGUCGGAAGACUGAACCAGCCAUGCCGCGUGCAGGAAGAAUGCCUUAUGGGUUGUAAACUGCUUUUAUAUGGGAAGAAUAAGGCGUACGUGUACGUUGAUGACGGUACCAUAUGAAUAAGCAUCGGCUAACUCCGUG
rnacentral:rRNA from 1 species